CCUGGAGCUGUGCCUCAAGUGGUAUAGCACCUGCCUAUCAAGUGCAAGACCCUGAGUUGAAAACCAGAGGUGGAGGCGGGGGGGGGGCGGGGAGAAGUCCCUUCCACAGACACUGAUUCUUCUGUGUGGAGCUCCAUCCUGAGUGCUCAGGACACAGGAGUCAUGAUAGCUGUCCUAUGGAUGCCCCCAGACAGAAAAAAACAUCUCAGAGGUAACCCACAAGUGGAUCAGGAGCAUCUUGGUUUCAGGCCAGCCCAGGAAAAAAUUUGGC